GGGAAAGAAAGGGGAUUGAUUUAGGUGGCUCUACAGAAAGAAAUAAAAAGCCAAGAAAGAAUGUAAAAAAAUAGACAGUUCUUGCUAUGGAGCUAGGUUACUCUUUCACCCAUUAUGUACUCAAGUUUCUUAAGGCUACAUAAAUGGAAACUGAACAACAGAUGCAACAAUCUGUGGAAACUUGGAUGCACUGUAAAUCUACUGGGAUUAUAUCUGGGAAGACAAUGUUUGCAUUCAGGAUAAGGUACUUUCAACAUCACAAGACGUGCCAGACUGCAAGGGCACACUGAAGCCAGCGAUGGCCAAAUUAAACAGCGUCUGGCAAAGUAACGACUCAAGACAGGUCCGUUAUCUCUCAGUGAGUGCGGGAGGACGAGGCUCCACCUGUUUCCCUAAAUGAAUUCAUGAAUGCUGCAGGAGAAUGCUAAUGAGAGCGCCUGGCUGUCUUCCUGACACAACAAUGCUAUCCAAAGACAGCGGCCAUAUUUGUAAUUAACAGGAGCUAUAUGUGGUGUCAAACGAGAGACGACAGGGUGUUUGGCUUCUCACCGCUGAGAAAAGAGAAAGCUCCCUUGUUCCUUUGUUGCUUCGACCUCUUUUUUUUCUUUCCAUAAGGCUGAGGGAGCCUGCUGGGCCUGGCUUCUGUGGUUUCUUCUCCCCAGAUGAAAGACUCAAAGUGCACAUUAUCACAAACGUACACAUUUGCUUUGACAAACUACCCUUGCAGCUGUAUGCAGUGUUUAGAUGUUUUUCAUUUCUGAGAUGCAUUCUGGAAGUGAAUGGCUCUGGUCAUGUGACAAAUUGCAUCAUCCAUCCAUCCAUCCAUCCAGUUUUAAUAUCACUUAUUCUACACAGACGAGCCUGGAGCCUAUCCCUUGGAUCUCAGGGCACAAGGUGGAGGACACUGGAGUACCUGGAGGAAACCCCAAAAGAAUGGGGAGAACAUAUAAAUUCCAUGCACCAAGGCUGGAGGCGGGAAUCAAACCCCCAACCCUUGAGGUGUGAGGCAAACGUGGUAACCACUUUUACUUACAGUAUAUCUUUCAGUAAACAUUACAUUACAGCUGUGCAAACUCCAAACAAAAAGUUUCCAGUGGAACUAAUUUCAGAAAAUAGGCCAAAGUUUGAAUUGCAUAUUUUAAUUACAGAUUGAUAGGGUGGCAAGAGAAAGAUCCUCCAUAAUGACUUCCCUUGGGCUGCUCAUUGAAGUUCACAAAAUAACACAACAUUAGAUCUCAUCCUCUGUGCAGUGCGCUGUAACACCAGAGAGGAAUCAUGUUCAGGGUGUGCAAAUGAACAAAACCGCAACUGAGUGCCUGUACCAGCCAGCACGCUACUCAAAUACCAUGACGGCAUUGAGUGUGAUGGAACACUGGCUCCGAGUUAUGUCUGUUUGUCUGCGUUAUCUUGCAUCUUAUAAUCAAAAUGAGAACUCAUCACUACCCUCAUUUGCCUGUAAUACCAAGUGUUAGAGAAAACAUGAGGGCUUACAGAGAGCAGAGAUCUCAGGAGUGAUGUAAAUCUUCAUCAGACUUUCUUCUUUCUUUCUUUGUAAGAUAAAUGAUGUUUUUUGUUUUUAAGAUAACAUGUUUUGCCUUUUUCUGUUGAUUUUUGAAACCUCUCAGAGUAUCGGCUCAGACAUCAGGUCAAUCUUCCCAUUAUGUUGUGUUUCUGUCUGUGUGUUAGAUACAGACUAAGAAAAGUGAUGGAAACCCAUGAGAGUGCAAGGCAGAACUUAGAGAUAAUGCUGAUGGAGGAGUCAGUUUUCACUGACACAGGCCUCUUAGGUGCAUGUAAAGGGAACGGAGAAUGGGAAACGGACCAAUUAUGGGCUUGAACAACAUGUUUAAACACUUAUGCUCUACAUUACGCACUGUCAACUUGUGCAUCAUGGGCCAGAUACAGAGCCAGCCAAGCUUUUUCAGCAGACCGGACUGAGUACAUGGGAAAAAAAUACUGUUGUACAGCUGCUAAACACACUUUACCAACAAGCAUGUAUUAAUGUACAAUUUUUUUUUCAUUUCAUUUACCCUCUCUGGUCUGGUUAGUGAAACGACGACAUGGCUUGUUUAAAAAAAAAUAAAAAAUAAAUAAAUAAAAGAUGAUGAAAACUUUGAAACGUUUAAAGAUGAUUGGACAGAGAAGUAUGUGCUUAUUCUCCCCGUGUCAAAUUCCGAACAGAUGUGUUUUAUGAGUCUAUGGUGCAAGUUAAAAGUGGUAUGUGAGUGUUGGACAAAACAUAACCACUUCAAAUGAUCUUAUUAAUAGCCAUAAAAUAGUCAUUCAUGUUUAAGCAUUAAGAGUAUUAGUGGAAAUGUAGAGCUCUACAUCAUUAUUAUUAUUAUUAUUUUAUUAUUGUUAUUAUUAUUAUUAUUAUUGCUAUUAUUAAUAUUAUUAUUAUUAGUGCUGUUAUUAUUAUUAUUAUUAUUAUUAUUAUUAUUAUUAUUAUUAUUGACUAGCUGUUGAAGAAAUUUUCUUUUUAAAUGUUUCAUAGAAC
ensembl:lncRNA